GGUGCUCAAUAAUUGCUUGUUGAAAACCUAGAUGAAUGAAUGACGUUCAUGCCAGCCAGCCUCCUUUACUCAAGUGAGGGCUUCUGAAAGCAUGUGUGUAAUCCCGAGCUAUAAAUUGAAUUAUAUUUUUAAAUGCGCUGGGGGACGUGCUAUUUAAAGGAAUUCUGAUGUAAAUCCUUUUUUAUAAAAUGAAGACAUCUUGAGUAAUGUGAA
rnacentral:lncRNA from 1 species